CUCCCCGUGUUAACAGACCCGGGACGGCCCGCCUGAGGACCCCUAAAACUCUGUUUCUAUAUGUAACUUCUGAGUAAAACCAUAAAUAAAUCAAAACUUUCAACAACGGAUCUCUUGGUUCUGGCAUCGAUGAAAAACGCAGCAAAAUGCGAUAAGUAAUGUGAAUUGCAGAAUUCAGUGAAUCAUCGAAUCUUUGAACGCACAUUGCGCCCGCCAGUAUUCUGGCGGGCAUGCCUGUUCGAGCGUCAUUUCAACCCUCAAGCCCCCGGGUUUGGUGUUGGGGAUCGGCGAGCCCUUGCGGCAAGCCGGCCCCGAAAUCUAGUGGCGGUCUCGCUGCAGCUUCCAUUGCGUAGUAGUAAAACCCUCGCAACUGGUACGCGGCGCGGCCAAGCCGUUAAACCCCCAACUUCUGAAUGUUGACCUCGGAUCAGGUAGGAAUACCCGCUGAACUUAAGCAUAUCAAUAAGCGGAGGAAA
rnacentral:rRNA from 1 species